GGCUUCGUGGUCGAGUGGUAAGGACACUUGCCUCUCACCCUGGAGUCAAGGGUUCAAUCCCCGAUUGAGGAGUUA